AUUGAACGCUGGCGGCAUGCUUUACACAUGCAAGUCGAACGGUAACAGGCCGCAAGGUGCUGACGAGUGGCGAACGGGUGAGUAAUGCAUCGGAACGUGCCCAGUCGUGGGGGAUAACGCAGCGAAAGCGGCGCUAAUACUGCAUACGAUCUAUGGAUGAAAGCGGGGGACCGUAAGGCCUCGCGCGAUUGGAGCGGCCGAUGUCAGAUUAGGUAGUUGGUGGGGUAAAGGCCCAACAAGCCGACGAUCUGUAGCUGGUCUGAGAGGACGACCAGCCACACUGGGACUGAGACACGGCCCAGACUCCUACGGGAGGCAGCAGUGGGGAAUUUUGGACAAUGGGCGAAAGCCUGAUCCAGCCAUGCCGCGUGCAGGAUGAAGGCCUUCGGGUUGUAAACUGCUUUUGUACGGAACGAAAAGACUCUGGUUAAUACCUGGGGUCCAUGACGGUACCGUAAGAAUAAGCACCGGCUAACUACGUGCCAGCCGCCGCCGUAAGAC
rnacentral:rRNA from 1 species